CCUACGGGAGGCAGCAGUGGGGAAUAUUGCACAAUGGGCGAAAGCCUGAUGCAGCAACGCCGCGUGAAGGAAGAAGGGUUUCGGCUCGUAAACUUCUAUCAACAGGGACGAAAGAAAUGACGGUACCUGAAUAAGAAGCCCCGGCUAACUACGGGCCAGCAGCCGCGGGAAUACGUAGGGGCCAACCGUUAGCCGGAAUUAUUGGGUGUAAAGGUUGGGAAGGUGGAGUGGUAAGCCAGAUGUGAAAGCCUUGGGCUUAACCCGAGAAUUGCAUUUGGAACUAUCAAGCUAGAGUACAGGAGAGGAAAGCGGAAUUCCUAGUGUAGCGGUGAAAUGCGUAGAUAUUAGGAAGAACACCAGUGGCGAAGGCGGCUUUCUGGACUGAAACUGACGCUGAGGCACGAAAGCGUGGGGAGCGAACAGGAUUAGAUACCCCGGUAGUC
rnacentral:rRNA from 1 species